rnacentral:rRNA from 1 species
UUAUGAUGUAAAUUAUAUAACCUAGGUAGUAUUAGUUAGAGUCUUGAAACUUAAAGAAUUUGGCGGUAUUUUAGUCUAUUUAGAGGAAUCUGUUUCUUAAUUGAUAAUCCGCGUUGUACCUUACCAAAUUUUUAGUAUGUAUACCGCCGUUAAUAAUGAAGAUCUUAUGUAGAGUUAAUUAAUUUUCUUUAUUUAUAUUUAUAAAAUAUUUCAGGUCAAGGUGCAGUUUAUGGUUUGGUGAAGAUGGAUUACAUUUAUAUUUAUUAUUUGGAAUAUUUAUUGAAAUUAUGAAUAUGAAAUUGGAUUUAAUUGUAAUUUUUUGAAGAUUGUAAUUAUGAUUAUUAGCUCUAUAAUAUGU